rnacentral:rRNA from 1 species
AACGAACGCUGGCGGCAGGCCUAACACAUGCAAGUCGAGCGAGACCUUCGGGUCUAGCGGCGGACGGGUGAGUAACGCGUGGGAACGUGCCCUUUUCUGCGGAAUAGCCUCGGGAAACUGAGCGUAAUACCGCAUACGCCCUUUGGGGGAAAGAUUUAUCGGAAAAGGAUCGGCCCGCGUUGGAUUAGGUAGUUGGUGGGGUAAUGGCCUACCAAGCCUACGAUCCAUAGCUGGUUUGAGAGGAUGAUCAGCCACACUGGGACUGAGACACGGCCCAGACUCCUACGGGAGGCAGCAGUGGGGAAUCUUAGACAAUGGGGGCAACCCUGAUCUAGCCAUGCCGCGGGAGUGAUGAAGGCCUUAGGGUUGUAAAGCUCUUUCAGCUGGGAAGAUAAUGACGGUACCAGCAGAAGAAGCCCCGGCUAACUCCGU